UCGAAUUCCGGAGACGCUACGGACUU
rnacentral:tRNA from 1 species